GAUGAACGCUGGCGGUAUGCUUUUCACAUGCAAGUCGAACGGAGUGCUUCGGCACUUAGUGGCGGACGGGUGAGUAACGCGUGAGAGUCUGGCUUCGGGUCCGGGACAACAGUGGGAAACUGCUGCUAAUAUCGGAUGUGCCUAAGGGUAAAAGAUUAAUUGCCCGAAGAUGAGCUCGCGUCCGGUUAGCUAGUUGGUGUGGUAAGAGCGCACCAAGGCGUAGAUCGGUAGCUGGUCUGAGAGGACGAUCAGCCACACUGGGACUGAGACACGGCCCAGACUCCUACGGGAGGCAGCAGUGGGGAAUUUUCCGCAAUGGGCGAAAGCCUGACGGAGCAAUACCGCGUGAGGGAGGAAGGCUCUUGGGUUGUAAACCUCUUUUCUCAGGGAAGAAAAAAAUGACGGUACCUGAGGAAUCAGCAUCGGCUAACUCCGUGCCAGCAGCCGCCGUAAAAC
rnacentral:rRNA from 1 species